rnacentral:rRNA from 1 species
CGCGUGGGUAACCUGCCCUAUACACAUGGAUAACAUACUGAAAAGUUUACUAAUACAUGAUAAUAUAUAUUUACGGCAUCGUAGAUAUAUCAAAGUGUUAGCGGUAUAGGAUGGACCCGCGUCUGAUUAGCUAGUUGGUGAGAUAACUGCCCACCAAGGCGACGAUCAGUAGCCGACCUGAGAGGGUGAUCGGCCACAUUGGAACUGAGACACGGUCCAAACUCCUACCGGGAGGGCGAGCAGCC